rnacentral:rRNA from 1 species
CUCGACUGCGUGAAGUCGGAAUCGCUAGUAAUCGCGAAUCAGAAUGUCGCGGUGAAUACGUUCCCGGGCCUUGUACACACCGCCCGUCACACCAUGGGAGUGGGUUGCACCAGAAGUAGCUAGUCUAACCUUCGGGAGGACGGUUACCACGGUGUGAUUCAUGACUGGGGUGAAGUCGUAACAAGGUAGCCGUAGGGGAACCUGCGGCUGGAUCACCUCCUUA